UCAGCGUCCUCAACGCCCUUGCACUCAAUGU
rnacentral:piRNA from 1 species